rnacentral:lncRNA from 1 species
ACUCGUAUUCUUCUUUAUCUCCUCUUUUCAUUGUUCUUGUCCUUCUUGUUGAACUAGUUGCACCAUUUCCUCUGCUGAAGAACAAAUCAAAAAUGUUGAUGAUUGUAUAAGAUCUAUGCAAAUCUGACACAAAAGGAAUAGCAGUUCUGCACAACUUACUUUGCUAGGUCAAUCAUGUUAUUUCACUCAUAUAUACAAGAAUAUGUUAUUCUUUCGAGGCCUACUGUACGUAAUAAAAUCAGAUGUCUGAUUGUUGUUUUAGCCAUAAUCAAUAUUAGUUUCACAAAAUCAACAUUAUGAUCUUCUGCAGUUGACUUAGAUUCUGGUAGUUGAAAAAUAAUUUAGUGUACACGUAGUAUUCAAUUAGUGUGUUGUUUCACAAAUCUAACUGCCGAACAUAUGAGUAUUAACUAAAGCGAAUACUGAUUCAUAUAGGAUGUGCAUGAAACUGCUCCUAGCAAUGCAACAGAUUGCGUUGAUGAAAGGGUACCAAAGGUUGGCAUGCAAUUUGUAUCUGAAGAGGAAGCUUACUCCUUUUAUAACAAGUAUGCAAAGGCUAUUGGUUUUAGCAUCCGAAGAGGGAGUCAACAUAAAGUAAAGAAUUCUUCCAUGAUACAACAAAGAACAUUUACAUGCUCCCGUCAAGGUAUGGGCUGCUUGUAUUUUGUUUUGGUUAUAUUACUAUUGGUAUCACUAAGAUACUUAUUUCAAUUGACAGGAUUCCGUGCAGAAGAUAAGAGAGAGGAUUCUUUCAGUUACAGUAGGCCCGAAACACGAUGUGGCUGUCAAGCCCAUAUGAAGAUAAGUCUCAAAAAUGGAUUAUAUUAUGUGUAUGAAUUUGAGGCUGCACAUAAUCAUAAUCUUGCUACUGGAGACAUGGCCUUAUACUUAAGAUCCCAAAGAAAAGUGACCGAAGCACAAAUAGCAAAUGUUGAGGUCGCAAAGUCUGUAGGCAUUUCGAAUAAAGCAACUAUUGAUCUUAUGGCCAAAGAAGCAUGUGGACUUCCAAAUCUUGGGUUUGCACCUGAAGAUAUGAAAAAUCGUUUGUACUCUAAGAGAACAUUGCAAGCAAAGAAAGGAGACACAGGGGGAGUGUUAGAAUACAUGGAGAAGAAGGUAAAAGAAGAUGCCAAUUUUUUCUAUUCAAUUCAAGUUGAUGAGGAUGAUCUGAUAACUAAUAUUUUCUGGGCUGACUCGAAAAUGAUAUCGGACUAUGCAAUGUUUGGUGAUGUUAUAUGCUUUGACACCACAUAUAGGAAACUAGAUGAUGGGCGUCCCUUUGGUUUGAUUGUUUGGGUGAAUAAUCACAAGAAAACUAUGGUCUUUGGUGCUACACUUCUCUAUGAUGAAACUGCUGAAAGUUUUGGUUGGCUUUUUAGAACAUUUCUAACAGCCAUGUCUGGAAAACAUCCAAGGACUAUUCUGACCGAUGAAGAUGCAGCAAUGGCCAAGGCAAUUAGUAAAGUCCUUCCUCACUCUCACCAUAGACUUUGCGUGUGGCAUAUGAAUCAAAAUGCUUGCAAGCACCUUGCUGGGGUUGUUGAAGAAUAUAAGAAGUUCAAUGCUGAUUUUCAGCAUUGUAUCUAUGAUAUUGAGGAAGAAGAAGAUUUUAUAAAUGAAUGGAAUAGAAUGCUAGAAAGAUAUGGACUACGUGACAAUACGUGGCUGCAAAGGUUGUUUGAGAAAAGGGAGCAAUGGGCACUAGUGUAUGGCAGAAAUACAUUCUCAGCCCACAUGAGCACUACCCAAAGAAGUGAAAGCAUGAAUAAUGAACUAAAGCGGUACAUUAGUAUUAAAUAUGACAUGCUUACUUUUUUCGAGCAUUUUGAGCGCCUAGUUGCGGAUAAAAGAUUUGUAGAGGUCAAGUGUGACUUCAAGGCCUCACAAAGUACUCCCAAGCUGAAGGCAGAAGGUAGCUAUGUGUUAAGGCAAGCCGCAACUACAUAUACUCCCGCAAUAUUCAAGAUGUUUCAGGAGCAAGUGCUUCGGACCCUGAACUAUGACACAUUUCUUUGUGAUUCAAGUGAUGAAGAGAAGAAGGUUUAUACAGUAAAAUUUCAUGGAACGCAACGUGAGCAUGUUGUCAGUUUUUAUCCAAACGAAGAAAAAGUCAGUUGCAGUUGCAAGAAGUUUGAAUUUGCUGGAAUCCUCUGCUCUCAUUGCUUAAAGAUACUUGAUAUUAAUAAUAUCAAGCAUAUCCCUGAACAAUAUAUAUUGAAAAGAUGGACAGUUGAUGCGAAAGUGCUAGAGAUAACAAGCAACCGCAAUUUGCACGAGGAUCUAAAAGCAAGAAUGACAAACUUUUACAAGGACUUGUGCAGAAUGUUUAUCCACAUAGCUGCUCGCGCCGCAGAGUCCGAUGAAACAUAUGAUAUGGCUGCUAAAUGCGCAGAGCAGCUAGCACGAGAUGUGGAGCAAAGCUUGAAAGUUAGAGUUGAUCCAGACCCAAAUCCGGAUUUGGGUGACUCCUCUGUUUCACAAGGUAUAUAUUUAUAUACUAUACUAGUAGUUCCAUAGAGUAUUUUCAAAGUAAGACUUGCAUUUAAUUUUACGGUUGCAGGUCUGAACAUCGAGUCUACUAGAGUUUCAAAGCAUAACGAGGGGCUUCACAUGCCAAGAGGUAUGAAGGUAAAGGAGAAGACUGUACGAGGGUCAGCGAGACCCAUUGGUGGCUUGGAGAAAGCAAAAACAACGAAGAAAAAGAAGACAGAUGAUCCUUUACAACUACAACCUGAAAUGCCUUUCGCAAAUGAAAUGCCUACAAAUAACCCAAUCUUAAUGGUAUAAGAAGUCUAAACUUUUUGACUUUAUCUACUUUUCAAACUUCUGCGACACUAAGCUUUGCUAUUAAUUUUCAUAGUGUCAAUUCGGAGAAAAUAUUGUACCAGGAUCAGGAAGACCCGUUGGUGGCUCAGAGAAAGCAAUAACAAAGAAGAAAAAGAAGGCAGUCCAUUCUUUACAACAACGACCUGAAAUGCCUUUGACAAACCAAAUGCAUGGGUAUCUACCACAGUACAACCCAACCCAAAUGGUAUAAGAAGUGUACUUUUUAAACUAUUUUUCAUUUUCAAUCACUUAUUAUUUUUCAUUUUCAAUCACUUAUGACCUAAGCUUUGCUAUUUAUCUGCAUAGGUUCAUCUGGGAGCUCCGCCAAAUCAUGUGUACCCCUAUUUAGCACAUUACAACCCAAGUAUGCAACAAUCCAUUGGUCUGUCGACCCCUACGAUGAUGCUAGGACAAAAUCUAUUACUCUUCCAACAACAGACUCGUACCAGUGGUACUUGUACCCCUAUGAUGAUGACAGGACAUAAUCUACCAUUCUUCCAACAACAGAAUCCUACCAUUGGUACCUCUAGCCGUACGAUGAUGCCGGAACAGAAUCUAUCAUUCUUUCAACAGCAGACUCCUACCAGUGGUACCUUUGCCCUUAUGAUGAUGCCCGGACAGAAUCUAUCAUUUUUCCAGCAACAAAAUCCUACCAGUGGUACCUCUACCCCGACGAUGAUGCCAGGACAAAAUCUACCAUUCUCCCAACAACAAAAGCCAGCUUAAUCAAUGUUAUAGAUUUUUGUUUCAUGUACUUGUGUGCAAUUCUAUUAGAACCUACGAGUAUACGACCAUGGAUUGAAGGAGACUAUCUAUAUCAAUCAGCAAGUAAUUGAAUAAGCAAUUUGUGACUCUGAUAAAUAUAAAAAUAGUAUUAUCUGUCAUGCAUCAUGUAUAAACUGUACUAUUACCAACAUCAUAGAUUUGUUUGUCUAACCUGACAAACAGACCAGUAGUCGAUGACUAUGGUAAUGGAGCGCCAUUGUCACCUGGAUGAGGAUCAAUCCAACCAUAUGACUUUGCAUGCAUCGCUCUAAGGAGUAGUUUGUUCACUUAGUUGAACUGUGGCCUCAUCCUGUAUGCAAAUAUCACCAUCAGUAGCUAUAUUAAUUUCAGUUUAUUUUCAACCAGUACACGAAACCAUCAGCAUUUUGUGCGAUGAAAGAUAUUCUCAUGUCCGAAUCCACUGUGUUUGAACUAUGUAUUUUGUUGCCUCUAAUAUUAAACAUCUUUAAAGAAAUAUCAAAUUGAGCACCUUCAGCACGCAGAAAACAGUCAUCUAACUAGGUAUCCAGGACAUGUAGAAACUAAUUUCGGUCUAUAAUUUUGCAAUCACAUAAUUUUAGCUUUUAACGAAUCACUAUAUGGAACAAAUUAAUUUGCAAGGCCCCAGUGUGCAUGUGCGCUCAAUUGGUAGUAGCUAGCUGUUGACUUGGUCAGAUGUGAACUGAAUGGCAAACAAACCAGAGGAUACAUCUGUAUUCUGAACAAAACAGUAAAGAGGAGGAUGAAAGGGAGCGACGGUGAGUUGCCGUACUAACCAUGGCGCGCAGCAGGCGAGGUCGGCAGCUGCGUGAAUGGUGUCGGGGCCCCGAAGACCCGCUGGAUGGCGGCCGCCCUCGUCGCUCGCCGCGGCCUCUGCCCUGCCACCGCCGCCGUGGUCUUCAGUGGCGGCACAACAGCCACCACUACCACCUCCACUAUCCCGACCCGAGCUCCACCAUGGCUGCUAGCAACUCCAAGACCUGGCCUUUGGCGCGAGGACGAAUCAAGAUGGGGAGCCGGUCUUGCGACGGGAGAAGCCGCAAUCUGGGACGGGCCGGCGGACCUCCUGCUGGAGGCCGCGACGACGGUACGGGGCGGUAGCAGAUCCACUCGAUGCCUCCGCUCCAGACGGUCGACUGUCGGCAGGGAAGGCGAAAGAGGAGGAACGAAUACGUAUUGGGGCAAACGGAAAUACGAGAGCUUCGUGUUUUUUUUUUGCUAAAAAAAAGACACGCGGGGAAGGGAAUCUGGCGCUGCCAUUAGAUGAAAAAUUAGCGAUGGGGAGUACGGAUGAGAGCACGGAACGAGAGCAGGC